rnacentral:lncRNA from 1 species
AACAAGCCCGAGGCGGGCUCAAAAUCAAGCACACAGGGUCCCAUGCACAACUUUGUAUGAAGCUGUGCAGCCAUGAUUGCCCUAAAGAAAAGAAAAACGUGUGUUGAUCCACGCAACAAGCAACAAUGCCAACAAAACUAAAGAAAAAGGGAUUAUCCCAACUUACGCCAACUUUUUAAAGCCCGGAACCGUGAAAGCUUGAAUGGAAUCGAAUUCAAGUGUUCUUCUAGAAACCCUGUGAGAGACGUAGACCUGUCAAUCAAAUGCACAGAUAUCUCAAUGGUCAAGAUUUGCGC